GUAGGUGAACCUGCGGAAGGAUCAUUAUUGAAUCUUUGAAAGGAGCUGUUUGCUGGCCUUAAUUAAUCUUGGGCAUGUGCACGCUCCGUUCAAAUCCAAACUCUCAUACACCUGUGCACCCUUUGUAGGACCGGUCGAAAGGCCGUUCCUAUGUUCAUUUAUAAACUCAACAGUAUGUGUAGAAUGUCAACGCGUGUAACGCAUCUUUAUACAACUUUCAGCAACGGAUCUCUUGGCUCUC
rnacentral:misc_RNA from 1 species